AGUGGCGAACGGGUGAGUAAUGCGUAAGUAUUUACCCUUUAGUGGAGAAUACCCUCGAGAAAUCGAGGCUAAUACUGCAUACGUCCCUUCGGGGAGAAAGGUGGCCUCUUGCUACCGCUAAAGGAUGAGCUUGCGUACUAUUAGCUUGUUGGUGAGGUAAAGGCUCACCAAGGCUAUGAUGGUUAGCCGGCCUGAGAGGGUGACCGGCCACAUUGGGACUGAGAUACGGCCCAG
rnacentral:rRNA from 1 species